rnacentral:lncRNA from 1 species
AGCUGGCUGUGCUAUCACUGCUGGCAUGCUUGCCACUGCCAGCAGCUCAGAUCAGAUAGUGGACAGUUUCCCACUUCAGGAGACAGUAAAUUCUGCUGCUGCUCUUACCAUGGCACUAAUAAAGGACAGGAACCCUGAGCUGAUUGGCCAGCUUUUGGUAGCAUGAGGCCAUAAAUCAUUUGCAGCUUUUGGAAAUGUUUCUUUGUCAUCAUUCAUUCACCAAAGGAAGCCAAACACUACCAGCAGAACUACUGGAGAACAUCACAAAAUAGCAGAGCUGCAGUAAAACAAAAAGAAACUGGACUGUGAGUAAUGCUAUUGUAUAUCCAAACCAAACUUACAAUGGGA